UUCUUGGUGUCUUAGAAGGUAAAGAGUCUGCCUGCAGUGCAGGAAGCCCAGGUUUGAUCCCUGGGUUGGGAA
rnacentral:tRNA from 1 species